rnacentral:rRNA from 1 species
UACAUGGGGUGCAAACGUUGCUCGGAAUUAUUGGGCGUAAAGCGCACGUAGGCGGUUUGUUAAGUCGGAUGUGAAAUCCCUCGGCUCAACUGAGGAAGUGCAUCCGAAACUGGCAAGCUUGAGUACGAAAGGGGAUCGCGGAAUUCCCGGUGUAGAGGUGAAAUUCGUAGAUAUCGGGAGGAACACCGGUGGCGAAGGCGGCGAUCUGGGUCGAUACUGACGCUGAGGUGCGAAAGCGUGGGGAGCAAACAGG